rnacentral:lncRNA from 1 species
GCAUGUGUAAACAAUGACAAAUGCAUAAUUAGAUAUCAUCUCUGCCUAUAUCAUUUACAAUGAAACACAAGACAAAGGAAUAAAGUGCCUUAGAAAUCCAACACCACAAAAAGGCAUUAAAAUUUAGGAAUGAACAGAUUUCACCACUUGCUGAACCAAAUUCUUGCUUGUACUUCACACAAAACAAAGGAUACUGUCACUCAAACAAGGGAUAUUGUGCAAAUGAACAUGUACAUCAAGGUUCUUGACUGGAAUUUCCAAAAAGAACACAUAUUUUAAAAGUGCAACAUCAAAGUCAAGUU